rnacentral:tRNA from 1 species
UCCUUGGUGGCCCAAUGGCUAAGGAUCUGCACUCCCAGUGCAGGGGGCACGGGUUCAAUCCCUGGUCAAGGAA